UGGGGAAUCUUGCACAAUGGGCGAAAGCCUGAUGCAGCGACGCCGCGUGGGGGAUGAAGCUUUUCGGAGUGUAAACCCCUUUCGACCCGGACGAAUGCCCCGCAAGGGGACUGACGGUACGGGUAUAAGAAGCCCCGGCUAACUACGUGCCAGCAGCCGCGGUAAGACGUAGGGGGCCAGCGUUGCUCGGAAUUACUGGGUGUAAAGGGUUCGUAGGCGGUGUGGCAAGUCGGGAGUGAAAUCUCUGGGCUCAACCCAGAGGCUGCUUCCGAAACUGCUGUGCUUGAGUGUGGGAGAGGCGCGUGGAAUUGCAGGUGUAGCGGUGAAAUGCGUAGAUAUCUGCAGGAACACCCGUGGCGAAAGCGGCGCGCUGGACCACAACUGACGCUGAGGAACGAAAGCUAGGGGAGCAAACAGGAUUAGAUACCCCUGUAGUCC
rnacentral:rRNA from 1 species